rnacentral:tmRNA from 1 species
GGGGAAAAUAGUCGGAAUCGAAGGUAAAUAUACAAUUGUAAAUAAGAAAAACAUAUGUGCAUUAUGCCAUGGACAUGGUGAGGUUGCUUUAUUUUCAGCGAUAUCGAAAUCAAGACCUGUUAAUGCAUCUUCUGAUUAUUACAAAGCGGUUGGUCACUAUAUAUGUAUCAAUAGUCAUGAAUGUAAUAAAAGGAUUACGGAUGUUACUCCGUUAGAGAGGUUUAUUGAGGACGUUAUAGGCUAGAUAAGCUAUUUAAAAUAUCCUUUGGGAGUUAGCGUACAUGGGGUGUAGUAACUUCUUCUGGCAAGCAGGUGCUACCACUCCAUCGGCUAUAUGGCGUGACUAGCACUUACUCUUAGGGGGAUACGCCUGAGGUUUCCGUCUGGAGCCGAUGGAAGAAAGUCAAUCAGACUAGGUAGCAGGUCAGCGCGUCACUCCGCGAAUCCACUACCGAAAUUCAAAUGAGUGACUGAGCUCGGAGAUGCUCAUGUAUCGCUGUUUUCGGACGGGGGUUCGAAUCCCCCU